GAGAAAGCCACCAGAAGCUCUCAGGUUGAAGGACUGCAAUGGUCACCACUAUUCACCUGCAGGGCUGUCAUGAGGACUGAAGAGAACUGGUUGUACAAAGCGCUUGGCAAACUGGAACAUUCUCUCCAGUGUGAGCUACAGAGUCAGAGCAAGAACUGAGCAAGCUGGCUGCCAGCCUUAUGGUGGCUACACGUUUGAUGUGCCCCUCCCUGUGCAUUCCAGAACUCCAUCUCUGUGCCUAAAUGCACGGAGUAAUGGCUGGCUUGUUUCUUCAAAGAGCCCAUCAUAGAAUAUCUCAUCUAAAGGAUUCAUUUUCUGUUUAUAAUUUAGCCUCCAGCUUAUUAAACUUUGGGUCAAGAUCUCAUAUGGGGUUCAUAUAACUAAAUGUGAGGGUUGAAAGAAGUCUGGCAAUAGUGGAAAGAUUUCUGAACACAGCUAAAACGAGUACGAAAUCAAGUGUGUAAUGUAUCUGAGAUGUCCGUGACAACACUUGCCCUAAACACAUCAUCAUGCAACAUGAUGCCUUUGCACACUGCCUGGAACACCCUGGCUCACACUGCACACUGCUGUGUAUUAUGGAUGGCAGUGUGUGUGUGUGUGUGUGUGUGUGUGUGUGUGUGUGUGCUGAUGUGAUAUUAUCUGCUCUUCUAGAAACACUGUAAUCUGGUUACAGAAAGCAAAAGCUUGAUGUUUUCCUAUCACCAUCCCUCAACAUGUAAAUAUCCAACUACUACAACUUUGCAUUGCAUUGGUUAGAAUGUUUGCUUUUAAAGAUUGCUCUUUGGGUCGCUUAAGCUUUAUAAACAAUUCAUUAAAAUGAAGUUUGGCUUGAAGUUAGGACAGAGCCUCCAACAGUUUCUGCAAUGCCCUUAAAGAUGCUUCUGCUCUUUUCUUUAAGCUCUCACCUUUCUUACUCUCAUCUCUAGCCCUCCUUCUCUCCCUCCCUUCCCCUUUCUCUCCACAUGGCCAUGGCCGGCCUCUCUCUCUCUUU
rnacentral:lncRNA from 1 species